AACGUACGCUGGCGGCACGCCUAAUACAUGCAAGUCGAACGAAGUAGCAAUACUUAGUGGCAGACGGGUGAGUAACAUGUGGGUAUCUUCCCCCGAGACUGGGAUAACCUGGUGAAAACUAGGCUAAUACCGGAUAAGACCACGUCCCGCAAGGGAUGCGGGAAAAGGAGGCUCAACCUCCACUUGGAGAUGAGUUCGCGGACCAUUAGCUUGUUGGUGAGAUAACAGCUCACCAAGGCUACGAUGGUUAGCCGGCCUGAGAGGGUGAACGGCCACACUGGAACUGAGACACGGUCCAGACUCCCUACGGGAGGCAGCAGUGGGGGAAUAUUGCGCAAUGGGCGAAAGCCUGACGCAGCAACACCGCGUGAGCGAUG
rnacentral:rRNA from 1 species